UUCCUUUUUUUUUUUUUUUUUUUUUAAAUAAUUAUUCUUUAUUUUAUGCUUUGGGCUCAUUUUCCACAUUCCUGAGCUCAGUCUGGCUAACAGAAAUCUCUUAUCCACCUGCUGCUGCUGUGCAGCCAGAAUUUUGGGGCAGUGAACGGAAUACAAUUUUAAGGGAAAAAAUAAUAAUCAGUGAUUCUUUUGCCCCAGUAAGUUCCAGGCAUUUUUCAGCUCAGACUUUUCAGUUUACCUAGAAAGAUGACUUGGAAUUUUAUUAAAUUUGCCUCACAGAUUAAUCCAGACAUUGCAAUGGUUCUUGAAUAUAUUAUUGUAAAAAUGGUCAGCUAAUGAGAGUAAAGCAACUUAGAUGAGUAAUUUAUGAUCUUCAUAAAGCUUCUGAAACUCUGUUUAACUGUACUUCCCAGGAGCUUGUUCAGCAAUGUCAAUACAUUAUGGAAUCAAUGGGGAACAGGAAGAAGACAAGCAGGAAACUGUGCAUAUUGUAGGAAAAUAAUACAGAACAUAUGUGCAAGGAUUCCUUCAGGUAACUUUACGCUUAUAGCCAAAAUAAAUUGCAAGAUAGUUUUCAUUUCCAUUACUUCUCUUGGUCUUUUUUUUUUUUUUUUUUUUUUAAAAGGUACACUUCCACUAAUUAAAGGUAACUCUUGCUAAUAGAAGCUAAUAGAAGAUAAAUUUUCUGCAGUGUUGCCAGUCCUGAAUAGUUGCGGAGAAAGAUUCAAAAUCUUGAAUCAAAAGUAUUUAUUGUAUCCUGUAGUGCUACAGCUAGUUUUGUAUCUAUAAGAUAUGUGAAGAUGCAUUGUACCUUGUCAUCUGCAUUUCCAACAAGCAAGUAAGAGGUCAGGUGAGCAACAUAUAUCCCCUUUUGUGCAUAACUGCAAGAUUCAAGGGAGUGGUAUAGCUCCAGAGCCUCUGCCAGCAGGUGUGAUAAGCUGUGAGGUGAUGUAUACGUAGUGCUCUGUGCCAGACUGACAAACUCAUGCGCUGAGGGAUAGUGCAAAGGUUGUGUAACAUGGGGGCAGCAUGUAGCUGCUCCGCCAAGAAAAUUCCCAGGGAAGGGUUGUGGCCUAUCCUGCUUGUAUGCUUCACAGGGCAACAUCGUGCUGUGUGAGCAAUUCAUCAUCACAUCCUGGGGCCAUCUCCUCAGUGCCAGUUACAGCCCUGGGACUGGAAGGGUUAUUGCCUGAUUGGGUAGAGGUUGUCCGUUGUACAGGAGCCCUUUUCUACCUGCUUCCUUGAGUCCUGCUGUUUAUGGCUGGCCUUGGGGCUCAUACUUUUGUUUCUGUGGACAAAUUACAAAUGCAGCUACGACAAUUGGGAUUUGAAUUACUGCCAAUAUGGUGUGUGUGUGACAACAGCAUGGUGCAAACCAGAUUCUUGUCCAUCUCAGAUAGUAUUGUAUAAUAAGCCAGAAUUGUAGUCUACAGUGGCCUUACAACAGAGCUGGAGAAAGGCAUUAAAUUGACUUCCAGCUUAGUAUGGUUGUUCAGUGUUUUUUAUUUUUUUUAUUUUUUAGGCCACCAUGAGUGAUAUAACAAAUAACAUUGCACACCGAAGUUGCUGAGUUUUAAACGUAUGUUAAAUUCUCCACUCUAUACAAGCUGUACCAUCCAGCAGGUAUGUUUCCUCUUUUGGAGAGUUAAUCUCACAAAUUAGCAUUACAACAAAGCCUGAAGAAAUUACCUCUCCUUCCAUUUCCUUUUCUUUUGUGGUAGAUCAGUUAUUCACAGCACAUUCUUCCUUUCUGGAACCAACUCUUUGUUUUGCAAAACCUCGUUCCACCCUUGCUGUCUAGUAGAGACCUGUUCCAAGCUGUGUUCCACUGGCUGGGAACAGGUACAGGCAACAGAAAUGCUUUUCUUACAAAACUGUCUUUGCAAGUAUUGUAUCUGCUCCCCGCCCUACAGAAGAAAGAUUUUGUUGAGAAUGAGUAUAGUUAUAUGCACUUCCCUUGGGAAAUUCUCCUUAGCAGCUUCAAAAGCUAUUACUGAAAAUCCGCGUUUGAUGAAAUAACCCAUAUAUCAAAAUGAGUGAACAUCUUUCUCAGAUAUCUUCUACAUGAUCUGUGACACUUCAGUGCUUAUCGUUUGUGCUACUAUGGGAAUGCAUUUCUAAAGUAGCAUACAUUGUUCUGAUUUUAAUGAUUCCAAAGUCUUGAGUCAAGUCUGUGAAGUACGUUUUGCUUAACUGUAGCUAGUAUUAAAGAGUUUCCAUUCUUUCAGAAACUGAAUUCCCUGCUAGUGAUGGAAAUUACAGCUUUCAUCUCAUAACCAAUAAUCAUAGUAACUAUUAUCUGUGUUCUGUACAUUUAUUUUGUGUGGUAUCAUUCACUAUUGAAGUGUGCAUCAACUACAGGUGACUGUCCCAAUGCAAAUGCAUGGAUGUUCCCAGGAUCUGCAUUGCCUUGUGUAAGUUUCAAGAAGAAAAUUUUGGUAAUGUAGAAGACAAGGAAUAUUAGAAAUGCUUGAUAGGAAGUUGUAUAAAAGUCUCACCAACCACUAGAUUUUUUUUUUUUUUGAAUGGAAAUAGAAAAUAUGUUUCAAAGGAAAUGACUAUGCAUGUGAUUCAGGCUCAUUGAAAAAUUUGUUUAGUAUAAAGUAUUACAUUUUACUACAAAAAUAGUAUGAAACAGAAGACACGGUUUUGUUGAAGGCAGUGAAAUAAAUGGGAUUAAGAUAAAAAUAAUGAUUAUAUAUUAAAGCCAGUAACCUCUGUGUUUUAUCCUUAUGCACCUGUCCUGGUGACGUAGGACGUAGGUGUAGAUAGUUUCUACAUCACAUUCCUGUUAUAUAUAAACUGAACAUGCUUUUUAAUGGUCUGAGGGCUUGCUGAGAAAUUGGUUUGUUAAGGCAAAUAAAAGAAGAUCUCAUUAGUCAAUUGUUUCUUUGUCUAAAAGAGGUCAUUAAAUUUGAUGAUAGAAGCUGUCAAUAUAUAAAAAUAUACAACUGAAUGGAAGGUGAGAACAAAUGCUGACAAGUGUCGUAUACAGCCAGUGCUCUUGACAAGACACAGGACUGAGCUUAGCAAAUGGCUUAUAAAGCCCAUUUAGCAGGAGGACAGUAAAAUCCUUCCUUUAAGGUGGCUUAGUUUUUUUUAGUAAGCAUUUAUGUGGAGACAGGGAUCUACCCAAAUAGGUGGGGGUGCUUGCUUUUACUAGGCACUGCAGACACCACUGCAAUAUAACUUUAGUUUAUUAUGGCACUAAAAUGAAACUGCUUUUUUUUUUUUUUUUUUUUUCUUGAAAUGAGGUUUGUAUCUACCAAAAGGGGGUAGCCAUUCAUUUCCUAUACUGGCUAUUGUUUUUGAAAGACAGUCAUCUCUGUGUCUUUUUUAAAAGCAUGAGUUCACUAUGUGCUAAAUGGCUGCAAGGGAAAAUAUGUUAUUGGUUAAGAGAGGAAAUUAUAUGUUUUUAUAUAUAUAAUUACAGGGGUUGAUCGGUAACUCACAACUACAGUAGUCCCACUUAAAAAAAUGUUAAAACAGCUACUCCAUUCUUUGUCUUCAUUGAUUAGCUUCAUCCAGAUGAUAAAAAUUAGUGAUGGACAGCCACAGAGCUGUCCAGCUCCCUGAGGCAAACAACACAAGAGCUGUCAUAGGUACAGAGAAAGCCUGGGUUAGGAGCCGUCCUGCCAGGUUGGGGCUCUGAUGCCCUAAGCAGCAGAUAACUUUGGUGGCCACAGGGCAGGAUGGCUGAGGCAGGGUAUGCCCCCAAGAAACCAUUCACUCUGUGGCUGGUUGUGGGUGUUGGUUAAGUGGCAUCCCCAGAUCCAUUAGUAUCAAUUCUCCAACAAGGCAGCUGAUGAUGUUGGACUAAGAUGGGGGGUUGUCUCGGAGGAAGCAGGUCCUCUGAUGUCCUGGCCUCAUUGUGUUCACCAGCAGUGUAUCACCAUUACUUGUGGAAACAGUCUGUUGAAAAUUACUACCAGAAUUUUCUCUGACCAGAUCAUUAUUUGUUUACAGAAAAGGAGGAUGUUUUGUAAUAUUUAUACAUUUUAUAUCAAACUGAAUGGGGGUAAAGGUUUUGCUGCAUGCAGACUCUCAUUUGGACUCAUUUAAAGCUCAACUUUAAAUUCAUGAGUUUUAUUGGAAAAAUUAAUAAUCUGAGAACACUUACAAAUCAGUGCUUUUAAAAACAGUUUUACAACAGUGUUUGAAUCUCAUGUAAGCUUUAGAUCAAUUCUUUAUUGAUUUUAUUCAGCUGGGUCUUUGGAUAGAGUUUGUAGAUGAAAUGAUAUUGUGAGGAGUUGAAUUUGUCUUUGCCUUCCUAUAACAACUCUUGUUCUGAGAAAAAAGAUACAUACACAUUCUGUUGUCAGGAGCCUCUGUUAACAGAAGUCCUCUCAUAUCUACUUUAGAAAAAAAAAAAAGGAAAACGAACAAAGAACAUAGGUUACCAUUACAACUCCUGAAACAUAGGCUGACUGGUCCUAAAUCAUGGUCAGGUGUUGUGGAUCUGGCUGAAUGUUUUUCACUAUAUUUAUCUCAUUCCAAAACAGAACAACAACAACACAAUCAUAAAUGGUCUCAUCUAUCCCAUGUUAGCUAGGCCAGAAACCACUGGUCAUAUCAGUUAUAACAUUCGUCUGGUAGAUCAGUCUACCAUAACAUGCUUAACUUUAAACCCAUAACUUUAAACUCCAGCAUGGCAGUUCUGUUCAGAACAGACCUUUAUGACUUCAAGCCAUCCUAAUCCUUCUGAAGACAAUUACUAAUCUAGAACUUUCAGAUGUUUCAUGUCUUUUGUAGCUGCACAAUUAAGCAUUAUACAAAGUGCUUAAAAAUGUAUGGAACAACUAUCUGUGGUUAAUAGCUAACAACUGAACAAAAUGAGAGCAGCAAAACAGGAGGUAAGUUAGGAAGACGUGGCAGACUUGCACAGAGAGUGAGGUCUGCUUCUUAGUGGAUGAGACAGACAACUAUUUACUAUAUUUUGAGAGCACCUGGCAAUAAGUCUAUUGGCUAUCAGGACAACUUAAGUGAAAGCGGUGUUUAUUACUGUGCCAUGUUAAGUGGAUUUGAGUGCAACAGAAAUAAACAGAACAGCCUCUGGAAAAGUUUCAAACUGGUGAGUGCUCUAGUGUUGCAGACAGCUCAGGUCAUUUAUUAGAAGCCAACUAAUCAGCACAAAUGACAAUAUGAGCUUUUAUGUUUGUUGGUUUCCUUGUAAAGAAGGUGGCUUUCAUACAGAUGUAUUAGCACGAAGUUAUGUCCUGUUUCACUUGAAAGCCAGCUCUAGCUUGCCCAUCUGACAGAUCCUAUAUCUUCUUUCAAAUGCACUCAUUUGCUUUUCCUCCUCACAAGGAAAACUCUUCUUUGCUUCUCUAAUUUUUAUUUUUUUUUCCCCUUGAUAUUAGCUAGACAGUUCUGAUUCCCUAUGAGUGUGGUAAACCAUUCUUAUUUUUUUACUUAGCAUUGUGAUACAUGCUCAGAAAUUUCAGAAG
rnacentral:lncRNA from 1 species